AACCUUAUGGACCUGCGGGCGUAUACCUGCGGAAGGAUCAUUACCGAGUGCGGGUCCGCGUGGCCCAACCUCCCACCCGUGCCUAUUGUACCCUGUUGCUUCGGCGGGCCCGCCAGCCUUCGGGCUGGCCGCCGGGGGGCGUCUCGCCCCCGGGCCCGUGCCCGCCGGAGACCCCAACAUGAACCCUGUUCUGAAAGCUUGGUGUCUGAGUGUGAUUGUUUGCAAUCAGUUAAAACUUUU
rnacentral:misc_RNA from 1 species